CCUACGGGUGGCAGCAGUGAGGAAUAUUGGUCAAUGGCCGUAAGGCUGAACCAGCCAAGUAGCGUGAGGGAAGACUGCCCUAUGGGUUGUAAACCUCUUUUAUGCGGGGAUAAAGGUGUCCACGUGUGGAUGUUUGCAGGUACCGCAUGAAUAAGGACCGGCUAAUUCCGUGCCAGCAGCCGCGGUAAUACGGAAGGUCCGGGCGUUAUCCGGAUUUAUUGGGUUUAAAGGGAGCGUAGGCCGGUCUUUAAGCGUGCCGUGAAAUUUUGUGGCUCAACCAUGAGAGUGCGGCGCGAACUGGAGACCUUGAGUGCGCGGAAGGCAGGCGGAAUUCGUGGUGUAGCGGUGAAAUGCUUAGAUAUCACGAAGAACCCCGAUUGCGAAGGCGGCCUGCUGGACAUUAACUGACGCUGAGGCGCGAAAGCGUGGGGAGCAAACAGGAUUAGAUACCCUUGUAGUC
rnacentral:rRNA from 1 species